rnacentral:rRNA from 1 species
UUUCCAGACUCCUACGGGAGGCAGCAGUGAGGAAUAUUGGUCAAUGGGCUAAGGCCUGAACCAGCCAAGUCGCGUGAGGGAAGACGGUCCUAUGGAUUGUAAACCUCUUUUGUCGGGGAGCAACGAGGCCACGUGUGGCCGAAGUGAGAGUACCCGAAGAAAAAGCAUCGGCUAACUCCGUGCCAGCAGCCGCGGUAAUACGGAGGAUGCGAGCGUUAUCCGGAUUUAUUGGGUUUAAAGGGUGCGCAGGCGGAAGAUCAAGUCAGCGGUAAAAUUGAGAGGCUCAACCUCUUCGAGCCGUUGAAACUGGUUUUCUUGAGUGAGUGAGAAGUAUGCGGAAUGCGUGGUGUAGCGGUGAAAUGCAUAGAUAUAACGCAGAACGCCGAUUGCGAAGGCAGCAUACCGGCGCUCAACUGACGCUCAUGCACGAAAGUGUGGGUAUCGAACAGGAUUAGAUACCCGAGUAGGC